AGAAUAUUUCGUACAUUAAGUUUUCCCAUAAAAAAUAUGGGAAAUUAAAAGGGAAUCGGGUGGAAAACCCGAACGGUCCGGCCACUGUAAUUAGGGAGCUUACCUAAAUAAACCAUUGAAAGCAAUUUUGAGAAGGAUUAGGAUAAGCAAUGAUCUAUAAGUCAGGAGACCUGCUUGAUGUUUGGUAUACAC
rnacentral:ncRNA from 2 species